UUUGUACUUCCCCAGUCCCAACAUUCUUGUCUUAGAUUUGUUUAGAUAUAAAUGUAUCUAAUUAUGUUUUAGUAUUUUGAUACAUUCAUUUUUAGAUAAAUUUAAGACAAAAUUUUUGAUACGGAGGGAGUAUUUU
rfam:Hordeum vulgare subsp. vulgare, WGS project CAJW01000000 data, contig: morex_contig_46991